GACAGAGGGUGCAAACGUUUGUUCGGAAUUACUGGGCGUAAAGCGCGUGUAGGCGGCAAGGCAAGUCGGAUGUGAAAGCCCCGCGGCUCAACCGUGGAAGUGCACUCGAAACUGCCUAGCUAGAGUCUCGGAGAGGAAGGUGGAAUGCUUGGUGUAGAGGUGAAAUUCGUAGAUAUCAAGCAGAACACCUGUGGCGAAGGCGGCCUUCUGGACGAUGACUGACGCUGAGACGCGAAAAGCGUGGGGGAGCAAACAGG
rnacentral:rRNA from 1 species